UACGUAGGCAGCAAGCGUUGUUCGGAAUUACUGGGCGUAAAGAGUGUGUAGGCGGUGCUCUAAGUUCGGUGUGAAAUCUCCCGGCUCAACUGGGGAGGGUCACGCGAUACUGCUCGACUUGAAGGCAGGAGAGGGAAGUGGAAUUCCCGGUGUAGUGGUGAAAUGCGUAGAUAUCGGGAGGAACACCAGUGGCGAAGGCGACUUCCUGGCCUGUUCUUGACGCUGAGGCGCGAAAGCUAGGGUAGCAAACGGG
rnacentral:rRNA from 1 species